UUUUUCAAAUGAUGAUACUUCCAUGCACCACUCUGAAGCUUUUAUUAGCAUUGUGCAGAUUAUGGAUUUCUGAAUAAUG
rfam:Drosophila melanogaster chromosome 3R.